GACGAACGCUGGCGGCGUGCUUAACACAUGCAAGUCGAACGGAAAGGCCCUGCUUUUGUGGGGUGCUCGAGUGGCGAACGGGUGAGUAACACGUGAGUAACCUGCCCUUGACUUUGGGAUAACUUCAGGAAACUGGGGCUAAUACCGGAUAGGAGCUCCUGCUGCAUGGUGGGGGUUGGAAAGUUUCGGCGGUUGGGGAUGGACUCGCGGCUUAUCAGCUUGUUGGUGGGGUAGUGGCUUACCAAGGCUUUGACGGGUAGCCGGCCUGAGAGGGUGACCGGCAACAUUGGGACUGAGAUACGGGCCAGACUCCUACGGGAGGCAGCAGUGGGGAAUAUUGCACAAUGGGCGGAAGCCGGAUGCAGCAACGCCGCGUGCGGGAUGACGGCCUUCGGGUUGUAAACCGCUUUCGCCUGUGACGAAGCGUGAGUGACGGUAAUGGGUAAAGAAGCACCGGCUAACUACGUG
rnacentral:rRNA from 1 species